ACGCAGGGGGGCUCUACCAUGCAGUCGACGGUGAACACGGAGCUUGCUCUGUGGGAUCAGUGGCGAACGGGUGAGUAACACGUGAGCAACCUGCCCCUGACUCUGGGAUAAGCGCUGGAAACGGCGUCUAAUACUGGAUAUGUGACGUGACCGCAUGGUCUGCGUCUGGAAAGAAUUUCGGUUGGGGAUGGGCUCGCGGCCUAUCAGCUUGUUGGUGAGGUAAUGGCUCACCAAGGCGUCGACGGGUAGCCGGCCUGAGAGGGUGACCGGCCACACUGGGACUGAGACACGGCCCAGACUCCUACGGGAGGCAGCAGUGGGGAAUAUUGCACAAUGGGCGCAAGCCUGAUGCAGCAACGCCGCGUGAGGGACGACGGCCUUCGGGUUGUAAACCUCUUUUAGCAGGGAAGAAGCGAAAGUGACGGUACCUGCAGAAAAAGCGCCGGCUAACUACGUGCCAGCAGCCGCGGUAAUACGUAGGGCGCAAGCGUUAUCCGGAAUUAUUGGGCGUAAAGAGCUCGUAGGCGGUUUGUCGCGUCUGCUGUGAAAUCCGGAGGCUCAACCUCCGGCCUGCAGUGGGUACGGGCAGACUAGAGUGCGGUAGGGGAGAUUGGAAUUCCUGGUGUAGCGGUGGAAUGCGCAGAUAUCAGGAGGAACACCGAUGGCGAAGGCAGAUCUCUGGGCCGUAACUGACGCUGAGGAGCGAAAGGGUGGGGAGCAAACAGGCUUAGAUACCCUGGUAGUCCACCCCGUAAACGUUGGGAACUAGUUGUGGGGUCCAUUCCACGGAUUCCGUGACGCAGCUAACGCAUUAAGUUCCCCGCCUGGGGAGUACGGCCGCAAGGCUAAAACUCAAAGGAAUUGACGGGGACCCGCACAAGCGGCGGAGCAUGCGGAUUAAUUCGAUGCAACGCGAAGAACCUUACCAAGGCUUGACAUAUACGAGAACGGGCCAGAAAUGGUCAACUCUUUGGACACUCGUAAACAGGUGGUGCAUGGUUGUCGUCAGCUCGUGUCGUGAGAUGUUGGGUUUAAGUCCCGCAACGAGCGCAACCCUCGUUCUAUGUUGCCAGCACGUAAUGGUGGGAACUCAUGGGAUACUGCCCGGGGUCACUCGGAGACGUGGGGAUGACGUCAAUCAUCAUGCCCCCUUAUGUCUUGGGGCUUUCACG
rnacentral:rRNA from 1 species